GACGAACGCUGGCGGCGUGCUUAACACAUGCAAGUCGAACGGAAAGGCCCUGCUUGCAGGGUACUCGAGUGGCGAACGGGUGAGUAACACGUGGGUGAUCUGCCCUGCACUUCGGGAUAAGCCUGGGAAACUGGGUCUAAUACCGGAUAGGAGCCAUUUUUAGUGUGAUGGUUGGAAAGUUUUUUCGGUGUAGGAUGAGCUCGCGGCCUAUCAGCUUGUUGGUGGGGUAAUGGCCUACCAAGGCGGCGACGGGUAGCCGGCCUGCGAGGGUGGACGGCCACAUUGGGACUGAGGUACGGCCCAGGCUCCUACGGGAGGCAGCAGGGGGGAAUAUUGCACAAUGGGCGCAAGCCUGAUGCAGCGACGCCGCGGGGGGGAUGACGGGCUUCGGGUUGUAAACUCCUUUCGCUAGGGACGAAGCUUUUUGUGACGGUACCUAGAUAAGAAGCACCGGCUAACUACGUG
rnacentral:rRNA from 1 species